UCCCAGGAGGACUAGUGGUUAUGCCACAGCGCUCUCACCGCUGCAGCCCAGGUUCGAUUCCUGGCCAGGGAA
rnacentral:tRNA from 1 species